AUGCAGCUGACUGGUCCCAAAUAGAACGAAACGUGGGUCCUGCAU
rfam:Schistosoma mattheei strain Denwood, Zambia genome assembly, scaffold: SMTD_scaffold0011914